CAAUAGCGUAUAUUAAAGUUGUUGCAGUUAAAAAGCUCGUAGUCGGAUUUCUGGUCGGAAGCUCCUGUCCUCUGAUGAGCGUACAAGUGCGUCCUACCAUCCUUCUGUUAACCUUUAAGGCUUUCGCGGCUUUCUAGGGGCUCAGAUAUUUUACCUUGAGAAAAUUAGAGUGUUUCAGGCAGGCUAGCGCCGGAAUACAUUAGCAUGGAAUAAUGGAAUAGGACUUUUGCCUCUUCUGUUGGUCAUGAGGCUCGAGUAAUGAUUAAUAGGGAUAGUUGGGGGCAUUAGUACUUAACUGUCAGAGGUGAAAUUCUCGGAUUUGUUAAAGACUAACUUAUGCGAAAGCAUUUGCCAAGGAUGUUUUCAUUAA
rnacentral:rRNA from 1 species